UCUGCCCCUAGAUGACUUGCGGGUGUGGCUGAUGUCACAAGUACACCAGUAAAUGGCAGAGGAGAGAGGCUAUGUCUAAUGCUCAGUGUUUUAACCCAUAAACAUCUAUCUGAAUGAUUAGUAUCCUAAAAUU